AAGCGUGCGCAGGCGGUUUUGUAAGACUGUCGUGAAAUCCCCGGGCUCAACCUGGGAAUGGCGAUGGUGACUGCAAGGCUAGAGUUUGGCAGAGGGGGGUAGAAUUCCACGUGUAGCAGUGAAAUGCGUAGAUAUGUGGAGGAACACCGAUGGCGAAGGCAGCCCCCUGGGUCAAAACUGACGCUCAUGCACGAAAGCGUGGGGAGCAAACAGGAUUAGAUACCCCUAGU
rnacentral:rRNA from 1 species